GAUGAAGAACGUAGUGAAAUGCGAUAAGUAAUGUGAAUUGCAGAAUUCAGUGAAUCAUCGAAUCUUUGAACGCAUCUUGCGCUCCUUGGUAUUCCGAGGAGCAUGCCUGUUUGAGUGUCAUUAAAGUUCUCAACCACAUUACUACAUAUGUGGCUUGGAUGUGGGGGUUUGCAGGCUUUCUCUGAGGGUCUGCUCCUCUGAAAUGCAUUAGUGGUAUUCCUGAGCUUUGCUACAGAUGUGAUAAUUUAUCUACAUCCCAAGAGUAUGCUUCAGCAACACCGCUCCUAACAAGCGAAAGCACAUUUUGAUGAAUUUGACCUCAAAUCAGGUAGGACUACCCGCUGAACUUAAGCAUAUCAAUAAGCGGAGGA
rnacentral:misc_RNA from 1 species